rnacentral:lncRNA from 1 species
GCACUCGAAAGCGAGCUGUCCGGGUGCCGCCCCGAGUGGAGUGAGCCGAGCCUUGCUUACCAGCAUCUGCGCCUCCGCACACCGCGAAGGCGCCCAACUGGAGGUGCGGCCACGGCCGGGGCAGGCGGCAGAACGCCGCCAGGUAAAGGGAAGAAAGGGAAAGGCCGGCCCAAGACCUCCGGGAAGAAGCAGAAGUUGAAGAAGCCGGAAGUGGACAUCAUGAGCCCGGCAGCCAUGCUGAACCUGUACUACAUUGCUCACAAUGUUGCCGACUGCCUGUACCUGCGAGGCUUCCCCUGGCCAGGGGCUCCCAAAGGGAAAAGGGGGAAAAAAUAAGAUUUAGGUGAUAGAAUUCAAAGCACGCCUUGGUCUCAAAGAACAGAAAGUAGGAGAAUGCAUUUAGACUCAAGGACUUCGGCCAAACGGGCUCUAAACGACAAGCGGAAACACAUAGCCACUGCGAUAGCAAACGCCGUUUUUUAUUUCCGAAGCUAAGCCAGGCACUAGGUAAGCCACUUUGGUUUUUCAGACGUAAUCAGGAAGAGUAGUUCAUAAAGGUUGCCCUGGCACUAGCAGUAAUUUUUUAAAAUAUUAUAAUCAUAAUUCUAGACUGAAUUAAACCUUGUUCUCAGAAGGCA